UUCAUCAUCCUCAGUCCUAAAUGAUGAUAUUACUGAAUAUCUUUGGCCUGUAGUGCAAAGAUGAAUGAUUACUGAUGAAUAUCUUUGGCCCGUAGUGCAAAGAUGAACAGGUGUUUAGAUGAACAUGACCAACUGAUGAAUAUCUUUGGCCUGUAGUGCAAAGAUGAAUAUUUGAUUCCAGAUAUAUAUUGAUUGAUGUUACAGGGAUAAAAGAUAG
rnacentral:lncRNA from 1 species